UACGAAGGGGGCUAGCGUUGCUCGGAAUCACUGGGCGUAAAGCGUACGCAGGCGGAUUGUUAAGUCAGGGGUGAAAUCCUGGAGCUCAACUCCAGAACUGCCUUUGAUACUGGCGAUCUUGAGUCCGGGAGAGGUGAGUGGAACUGCGAGUGUAGAGGUGAAAUUCGUAGAUAUUCGCAAGAACACCAGUGGCGAAGGCGGCUCACUGGCCCGGUACUGACGCUGAGGUGCGAAAGCGUGGGGAGCAAACAGG
rnacentral:rRNA from 1 species